rnacentral:ncRNA from 2 species
UGACGGCACUGGGGGUGCUCGCGCGCGUCCGCGCGCGGGCUGAGAACAUACCCUUCUGACCGGACCAUGGUAAUGCAUGCGUCGGGAAGUGCUUUCCCUCGGGG